rnacentral:rRNA from 2 species
GCGUCGUGAUGAGUGCUAGGUGUUGGAGGGUUUCCGCCCUUCAGUGCCGGAGCUAACGCAUUAAGCACUCCGCCUGGGGAGUACGACCGCAAGGUUGAAACUCAAAGGAAUUGACGGGGGCCCGCACAAGCGGUGGAGCAUGUGGUUUAAUUCGAAGCUACGCGAAGAACCUUACCAGGUCUUGACAUCUUGCGCCAACCCUAGAGAUAGGGCGUUUCCUUCGGGAACGCAAUGACAGGUGGUGCAUGGUCGUCGUCAGCUCGUGUCGUGAGAUGUUGGGUUAAGUCCCGCAACGAGCGCAACCCUUGUUACUAGUUGCCAGCAUUAAGUUGGGCACUCUAGUGAGACUGCCGGUGACAAACCGGAGGAAGGUGGGGACGACGUCAGAUCAUCAUGCCCCUUAUGACCUGGGCUACACACGUGCUACAAUGGACGGUACAACGAGUCGCGAACUCGCGAGGGCAAGCAAAUCUCUUAAAACCGUUCUCAGUUCGGACUGCAGGCUGCAACUCGCCUGCACGAAGUCGGAAUCGCUAGUAAUCGCGGAUCAGCAUGCCGCGGUGAAUACGUUCCCGGGCCUUGUACACACCGCCCGUCACACCAUGAGAGUUUGUAACACCCAAAGUCGGUGGGGUAACCUUUUAGGAGCCAGCCGCCUAAGGUGGGACAGAUGAUUAGGGUGAAGUCGUAACAGGGAA